GGGUUGUGAGGUUAAGCGACUAAGCGUACACGGUGGAUGCCCUGGCAGUCAGAGGCGAUGAAGGACGUGCUAAUCUGCGAUAAGCGUCGGUAAGGUGAUAUGAACCGUUAUAACCGGCGAUUUCCGAAUGGGGAAACCCAGUGUGAUUCGUCACACUAUCAUUAACUGAAUCCAUAGGUUAAUGAGGCGAACCGGGGGAACUGAAACAU
rnacentral:rRNA from 1 species